GCUACAGGUGACAUUCUACUACCGCUAUGACAUUAUUCAUUACCGCUACAGGCAACAAGGACAUUCUACUACCGCUAUGACAUUAUUCAUUACCGCUACAGGUGACAUUCUACUACCACUAUGACAUUAUUCAUUACCGCUACAGGUGACAUUCUACUACCGCUAUGACAUUAUUCAUUACCGCUACAGGCAACAAGGACAUUCUACUACCGCUAUGACAUUAUUCAUUACCGCUACAGGUGACAAGGACAUUCUACUACCGCUAUGACAUUAUUCAUUACCGCUACAGGCAACAAGGACAUUUUACUACCGCUAUGACAUUAUUCAUUACCGCUACAGGUGACAAGGAC
ensembl:lncRNA